rnacentral:rRNA from 1 species
UACGUAGGGUGCAAGCGUUGUCCGGAAUUAUUGGGCGUAAAGAGCUCGUAGGCGGUUUGUUGUGUCGGCUGUGAAAUCCCGAGGCUCAACCUCGGGUCUGCAGUCGAUACGAGCAAACUAGAGUGUUGCAGGGGAGACUGGAAUUCCUGGUGUAGCGGUGAAAUGCGCAGAUAUCAGGAGGAACACCGGUGGCGAAGGCGGGUCUCUGGGCAACAACUGACGCUGAGGCACGAAAGCGUGGGUAGCAAACAGG